rnacentral:rRNA from 1 species
AACAGGAUUAGAUACCCUGGUAGUCCACGCCGUAAACGAUGUCGACUUGGAGGUUGUGCCCUUGAGGCGUGGCUUUCGGAGCUAACGCGUUAAGUCGACCGCCUGGGGAGUACGGCCGCAAGGUUAAAACUCAAAUGAAUUGACGGGGGCCCGCACAAGCGGUGGAGCAUGUGGUUUAACUCGAUGCAACGCGAAGAACCUUACCUACUCUUGACAUCCAGAGAACUUUCCAGAGAUGGAUUGGUGCCUUCGGGAACUCUGAGACAGGUGCUGCAUGGCUGUCGUCAGCUCGUGUUGUGAAAUGUUGGGUUAAGUCCCGCAACGGGCGCAACCCUUAUCCUUUGUUGCCAGCGGUUAGGCCGGGAACUCAAAGGAGACUGCCAGUGAUAAACUGGAGGAAGGCGGGGAUGACGUCAAGUCAUCAUGGCCCUUACGAGUAGGGCUACACACGUGCUACAAUGGCGCAUACAAAGAGAAGCGACCUCGCGAGAGCAAGCGGACCUCAUAAAGUGCGUCGUAGUCCGGAUUGGAGUCUGCAACUCGACUCCAUGAAGUCGGAAUCGCUAGUAAUCGUGGAUCAGAAUGCCACGGUGAAUACGUUCCCGGGCCUUGUACACACCGCCCGUCACACCAUGGGAGUGGGUUGCAAAAGAAGUAGGUAGCUUAACCUUCGGGAGGGCGCUUACCACUUUGUGAUUCAUGACUGGGGUGAAGUCGUAACAAGGUAACC